GCCAGACUGCGGCAAAGUUAUAUACAUUUUCACAACAAUUCUGUAUCUGGGAAUUUAUGCUACAAAAUUAUAUAGAAAAAAAUUGAUGUUGUUACAAGUAUAGCUACUGCAACCAUUAAAUGUCAUGCAGAGUUAAAAAGAAAAAUGAAUCUUUAUGAGUUGGUCUAAGAAUAUCUUCAAGGUACAAAAUUAUGGCUAUAACCUGGGUUCAUCUGAGCAUAUGUAGUCUUUUUAUAUGUUUUUAAAGUAAGUGUUUCUACAUACACAUCCCUAUUUUAUUAAGGAAAUCAACAUUUUCAUAACCUAUUUCAUGUUUGCUUAUUCCCUUAUAGGAAAAAUAUACAUGAAAAGCCACAGUGGUAUGAAUUAGUCAUAAAACUUCCAUAAUUUUACAAAUAAUCAGACUGAGAUUGUCAACAGGAACCCAGUGACAGUGAUGAGAAUUUACUGUAGGGCUGGGGAUGUUGCUCAGUGGUGUGACUCCUGUCUAGCAUGUACAAGGCCCUGGGUUCAACCUCCA
rnacentral:lncRNA from 1 species